GUUCCAAUGGCUUGGGCAAAACGUCUCGGCUUAACAUGCCACUCUCUCCUGCGUCCCGUGGCCCGAGAAUCACAGAGUCCUAGAAGCCUAGAGUGGGAAGAGACCUUGCCGGCCGUCCAUCCAUUUGCCCUUCCAGCAAUCAAUCAGGGCUCACUGCAAUUAACCUCUUGACUGCUGGAAGGCUUGCCAAAACGAAACACAUACACUUUCACAGCAACAAUAGACUAAACAUUUCACUACAUAUCACAAAAACUAACAAAUGGGACACAGUGUGAUUCCAGGUAAAGUGGACUGACCAAGGUGGAAUAGAAUAGAAUAGAAUAGAAUUCCAACCCCAUUCUGCCAAGAAGCAGGAAAGACACAUUCAAAGCACCCCUGACAGAUGGCCACCCAGCCUCUGCUUAAAAGCCUUCCUCUCCUCUCUUCCGCUCUGCAGAUGCUUCCGCCGUGUGCCAGGGCACGGAGCUGGUCCUCAGCGCUCUCCUGACCGCCAGGUCGGCCGCCCAGCGGGACACCUUGGCGCGAGCCCUCUCGGGGGUCCUGGGCACGGAAAAGCGGGUGAGCCUUGGCAGGUGGGACUCCACGGCCGCCUUGAAGCCUUGUCUGCCGAAAGCAAAUGUGACCACGACCCCACCAGCCGAGCCGGGGUCCACCGGAGCGCCUGCGCAUGUGCUGCUCAUCAACGAAGUGAAUCCGGACAACCCGGGGAAGCGGGAGGAGGCCGAGUUCAUCGAGCUCUUCUAUCCCGGGAGCGCCCGGCCCUUUGAGCUGCGGGACCACUGGCUGGUCCUCUACAACGGCAAGAACAACCUGGCCUACCGGGUCAUCAGCCUGGACGGACACCGGACGGACCAGCGGGGCUUCUUCCUGGUGGGCGGUGCCGGAGUGGCCCCCCGGCCCUCGCUCGUCCUGCCGGACAACACCCUCCAGAACGGGGCCGAGGCCGUGGCCCUCUACCACCGCCCCCAGGCCAAGGCCAAGGCCUGCCAAGUCAACAUGGAGGUCACCACGGAGGGGCUGCUGGACGCCGUGGUGUACACGGCCUCGGGCUCCCAGGCGGCCCACCGGCUGCUCUCCAUCCUCGUCCCCGGACAGAGCAUCCUCCACGAGAACAGGGCGCGCGGCCCGGCAGACCUCUCCCUCAGCCGAUGCCGCGGACUCCAGCCCAGGGACCAGGGCAGCUUCCAGGUACAAAAAGAAAGGAAAUCAACCUGCAGGCAGUCCCCAGGAUACCAACAAGAUAGUAGGUUGCUG
rnacentral:lncRNA from 11 species